rnacentral:rRNA from 1 species
CCUACGGGAGGCAGCAGUGGGGGAUAUUGCACAAUGGGGGAAACCCUGAUGCAGCGACGCCGCGUGGGUGAAGAAGUAUUUCGGUAUGUAAAGCCCUAUCAGCAGGGAAGAAAGAAGACGGUACCUGACUAAGACGCCCCGGCUAACUACGUGCCAGCAGCCGCGGUAAUACGUAGGGGGCGAGCGUUAUCCGGAUUCACUGGGUGUAAAGGGAGCGUAGACGGCCGUGCAAGCCAGGAGUGAAAGCCCGGGGCCCAACCCCGGGACUGCUCUUGGAACUGUGCGGCUGGAGUGCGGGAGGGGCAGGCGGAAUUCCUGGUGUAGCGGUGAAAUGCGUAGAUAUCAGGAGGAACACCGGCGGCGAAGGCGGCCUGCUGGACCGCGACUGACGUUGAGGCUCGAAAGCGUGGGGAGCGAACAGGAUUAGAUACCCGGGUAGUC